rnacentral:lncRNA from 1 species
UUAAGCGUCGUAAUUUCGUCGUAAAUGGAAAAACGCGGGCCUGGUAAUUUCGUCGUAAACGAAAAACACGGGCCUGGUAAUUUCGUCGUAAAUGAAAAAACGCGGGCCUGGUAAAUUCGUCGUAAAUGGAAAAACGCGGGCCUGGUAAAUUCGUCGUAAAAUUACGUCGCUUUUACGACGAAUCCUAAUCUAUAUAAGGAGACGCCGAGAGCGAGGCUGCCUCGCUCAUUCCUCCCAAAUUCCUUUGCUCUCUCUAAGGUAAACUCUCUCUUCUCUCUUUUUUUUUUUUUAAAUUAGUUUAGGUGAUUAGUUAGGUAACGGAAUUAGUUUAGGUGAUUAGUUAGGUAAUUAGUUUAGGUGAUUAGUUAGGUAACGGAAUAAUAUUUUUAUUAUGUCGUAAUUGAUUAAAUUUAUUUUAGUUUUUUUAGAUGGCUCCUAGAAGAAAAUCCAGAGCACCUAGCUAUAGAGAUUUGUUUGGCGACGAUGGUUCCGGUACAUCUUCUUCCGGUCCAUCGUCUUCCGGUCCAUCAUCCUCCACCGCAGUUCCAGACUCUCAGCCUUCUCAGAGAGUUGCUUGGAGUCCUCCUCCACCGCAGAUGCCUCCACCGCAAAUGCCUCCACCGCAUAUGCCUCCACCUCCUCCUCCAGCGGCUGCACCUGAGCCUGUCCCAGAAGGUGCAGUUCAUCCGGAUUUGCGUGUGCCUUCAUAUGCCCCAUUCGCGAGAUAUACGGUAGAGGAUUUGCUUGCCCAGCCUGGACGGGAGGGUUUGGAUGUUCUAGACCCCGAUAGACCCCGAGGAACUUAUUGGUAAGUUAUUAAUUUUUAUUACAUUAAAAUUUAAAUUAUUUUUAUUUUUUAACGGUUAAAUUGUUUUCCUUUCAGGUUUGGGGCUAACAACCGUGUUGGCCGGAGCGUUUCGAAAACGAUUAAGGGUUACUACGACGGGGCAUAUCCGAACUGGAGCAAGACUCCAAAUCACGUUAAGAUCACUUGGUUUAAAAUGUUUGCGGUAAGAUUUUUAAAUUUAAUUAAAUUUUCACUUUUAAAUAUGUAUAUAUUUUUUAAAUAUUAUUAUUAAUUGUAAUUUUUCAAAUUUUUUGUGUUUCAGCAAAAGUGGCAUUGGUCUUUGGGAAUCACCGAGAUGGUGAAGGCGGAAUUCGUUGCAAAAGCAAAGAUCCGCCUCUGCAACACAGUCUCCGAUUGGAAGGACAAGUGGGAGCUCGACGGGUAUGAGGGAAAGCCCACUGAGCUCACGAAGGAUGUGUGGGAUGGCCUCAUCGCCUACUGGAAGCACCCCUCUUCGAUCAAAAAGGCCAAUUCGUGCUCGGCUUCUCGAAGAACGAAGGAUAAAGAUGGUAAUUUGCCCAUGCUUCACAGAACCGGCCAAAAACCACAUGCAGGCAUCCGUCUAGAAGUUGUAAGUUUUGUUUUUAAAUAUUUAUUUUAAAAUAUUCAAUUAAUAUAAUUUUUAAUAUUUUUUUUUGUAGUUGGAGAAGACGGGAGUCUUACCAUCUCUGUCUGACCUAUUCAAGAUGACUCACGCCACAUCCGACGGAGUUUUUGUGGAUCCUGCAUCUGAGAAACUCGCUCAAGCAGUGGCUACUCGGAUUGAAGAACGGGAGACGCAACUAACUCAGGAGUCUCCCGAUGGAUUACCCGUCACAUUGUCCACCGAAGAAGCCGACAGAAUCUUCGAAGAGGUAGUACAACUAAAAAUUUUUGUUUACAUUAUUUUUAAUAACUAUAUUAAUAUAUGUUUUAAUUUUAU